rnacentral:lncRNA from 1 species
AUUAUUGACCUCCUUGAGUCAUUGACCUCCUUGAGUCUUUAAAUCUUAACAAAUCAAGCACACUGCUAGGCAUAAAUGAAAAGGAAAAAUAUUGACGAGAAGAGACAAAUUUAUAACUUAAUGCUCAUCAAACCUAUUAUUAAGCCCCGGCCAUUACUUGGAAAAAAAAUUAUGUUUUAAAUAGUGAUUUUUAGGAGAAUGUGUAAUUAAAAAAUAGGAAAAAGUCUUAAAUUUACGUAUAAAAUAUUUUAUUGUAUAAAUGUAUGGUUGAAAUGAACAUGUUGAAAAAAAAGUUUUUAAAUAAUGGCCAUCAAACAGGCACUGACUAUGCUUUUUAAAUAUGGUCGAAUGGUGGUAAACGUAAUCGUUGUGUAAUAAUUUGAAAAGAUCUUAUAUUAAUGAUAGGCGAAUAUUAGUCCACCACACUAGAAUGACAAUAUUCUCUAUCACUUUACCCUCAGGCUUAGAAGCAAUGUUUGCUGAACUUAGACUCUUCUCGCAUGCUGCAAUUCAGGUACACAUUUGCAAACCAUUUCAUCUCUUUCGUGACCUUUAGCAAUAAUGCAGCACAGAAAUUAUUUUCGUCUCUUUGUUGGAACUAAUUUUAUUGGGUUUAGGAGUUUGUUAUUAAUUUGCUUUUCCUUGUAGUUCAUGGAGUUACCUUGAAAGUGAUUGUUUUGUCUUUUUCUUCUGUUGCAGAUGGCUUUCACCUUUUUGGUUUAUCCGGCACUCACAUUGGCAUAUAUAGGUCAAGAAGCUUACUUAUCAAAACAUCACCACACAAUUCACGACAUUGAUUUUUAUGUCUCUGUUCCAGCCUAGGAAUAGCUUGGGUCCCUGGCAUUGGCAUUGUGUUCACUGAUUUGACCUCCGGUAUACCUACCAAUUUUUCUCGUUUUGUCACCAAUCUCCCUGCUUUCCACCUUCUCUUUGUUUUCGUAUGUAUAAAAUAUGUAUCAAUACCAUUUGUCCCACCAGCCGAGAGGUACCUCAUGGGAUGUUCAU